rnacentral:rRNA from 1 species
AGGACGAACGCUGGCGGCGUGCUUAACACAUGCAAGUCGAGCGGAAAGGCCUUUCGGGGUACUCGAGCGGCGAACGGGUGAGUAACACGUGAGUAAUCUGCCCAUCGCUUCAGGAUAGCCAUCGGAAACGGUGAUUAAUACUGGAUAUGACAUUCCUUCGCAUGUUGGGGUGUGGUAAAGUUUUUCGGCGGUGGAUGUGCUCGCGGCCUAUCAGUCUUGGUUGGUGGGGUAAUGGCCUACCAAGGCUUUGACGGGUAGCCGGCCUGAGAGGGUGACCGGCCACACUGGGACUGACGACACGGCCAGACCGUCCGUACGGGAGCAGCGAGGUAGGGAUAGUUGGACAAGUUGGACGGAACGCCUGAUCCAGCCAACGCCGGACGGUGAGGG